rnacentral:misc_RNA from 1 species
GAUGAAGAACGUAGCGAAAUGCGAUAAGUAGUGUGAAUUGCAGAAUUCAGUGAAUCAUCGAAUCUUUGAACGCACAUUGCGCCCCUUGGUAUUCCAUGGGGCAUGCCUGUUCGAGCGUCAUUUGUACCCUCAAGCUUUGCUUGGUGUUGGGUGUUUGUCCCGCGUUGCGCGUGGACUCGCCUUAAAGCGAUUGGCAGCCGGCAUAUUGGCCUUGGAGCGCAGCACAUUUUGCGCUUCUAGUCAUGAAUGUUGGCGUCCAUUAAGCCUAUACAUUUGCUCUUGACCUCGGAUCAGGUAGGGAUACCCGCUGAACUUAAGCAUAUCAUAAGCGGAGGA